GGGCGAGUGGCGGAAUUGGUAGACGCACAGGACUCAAAAUCCUGCGAGAGCAAUCUCAUGAGGGUUCAAGUCCCUCCUCGCCCACCA
rnacentral:tRNA from 1 species